GAUUUUGUUACGGUCUUUUAUUUGCGGAACGGUUUUUAACCAUGGAAUUUAUAGAUAAUCCAGUUACGAAAUUUUGGAAUGUUGAGAAAUCAAGCACAAGAAAACGUUUUACAUAAGGCCAAGCUAGUGCCAGCAGCCGCGGUCAUACUAGCCUAAGGAGUAAAUAAUAUAAGUGAAUGCAAACGGAUAUUAAUAUAUUACUAUGGUAAAAUAUGUUCUAUAAAGUUUACUAACAUAAGUUUAAUUAAACAACAAAUACGGAGACAAACAAGGAUUAGAUACCCUUCUAUGUGGUACGAGAAAAUAUUCACUGGGUAUUAAAGUACCUACCCAAACUCAAAUAACAUGGCGGUAAUUUUUAAGCUUAGGGGAACUUACCUAAUAAAUGAUAACCACCAAGCGUAGCUACUAUAAGUCAGAUUUUGUAUGCCGUCGUCUAGAUUAAAUAUUAUAUUUAAUCCCAAGUUAUUUUUAACCUAUGACAGAUCUUGGUGCAGACCAUCUUAUAGAUAGGGCGAGUUACAAUAAUAACUUAUUUCUAUCGGUCGAUUUAAUAAAUCUAAAUAGUUGGACUUAAUAGUAAGGUUUAUAUUAUAAAUACUAACUGAAUUUAAAAGAAAUUGUGC
rnacentral:rRNA from 1 species